rnacentral:piRNA from 1 species
UGUAUUUCAGGUUCACUAAACUGUUUCUACA